UAGAAAAUCUAUUAUUUUGCUAAAAAAGUUAUUUUCUAAUUAUUUACUAUUUUUCAUAAUUAAAAACAUAGAAAACCUAUUAAAAUAUUAUUCUAAAUUCUCUAAAUUAUUUUCAUAAUUAAAAUAUUUAUUUUAUCAUUGAAAAACAUAUAUAAAGAUUAAUAGAAUUAAAAUAUUUUAUUUUAUUUAUUUCACCAAAGAAAUCAUUUUUAAAACUUUUAUCUAAAUUAUUAAAGAAUUUACAUAAUUUUUAUAUUAAAGAAAACCUAUUUUUGGGAUUAAAAAACUGUUUGGGAGGUUUUUGCAAAUCAAAGUUAUUUUUGAGGGGUUUUUGCAACAAAACACGUUAGGGAGGAAUCUCGAAAUCGAGAUGAUAUAUGGGGUUUCUGCGAUUUUUCCAAUCUUUUGGCCACUGGCCUUAUCUUUUGGCCACUCUCCAAUACUGACGCGUGGGGCCUACUAGCAGACCGGCCCACCUGCCUUGGCUCACGGUGGACCACCCCCUGCGUGCUCCUUUCGGCCCACCGAAUCAUGGACUGGGUCCACCUGUGCAAUGCGCCAGCUCACCAUCCAGUCCGCAGCUUCAGUCCACCAUGCACCACACUCACAAGCUCCCUCUGUCCAUAACCCCGUAGACCAAAUCCAUCAAACAGUGUCUCCUCAUAUUUUCCAGAUUUUUUCCUUUUUCCGACAAAUCUUCCGAGAACCGUAUCUUUCCCGUUCUAACUCCAUUUUUAACUAUUCUUUCGUCAAUAUUUCUCUAAAAUCAUGAUGUAUCUUCCGUGUGAUCUUGUGAUUUUAAAAGUUCAUUUAAUUUUCCGUUCCGCUUUAUUUUGUGUCAUAGCACUUGCAACCUAGAAAUAGGUUUUAAUCUUUUAGCUAGGUGACAAAUAGAUUUAAGUGUAGACUAUAUUAGUGAUCAUGUUUUAGGUUAUAAUCGUAGUUUAGUCACAAAUAAUAACCUAGCUUAAAGUGUAGGUUUAACCCUUUUAGUUAAUUAAGAAUAGUUACUAGAUAACCUUAGAUUAGUGCUAUAGAUUAGAGUAAUUAAUUACGAUACUUGAGCACAUAUAGUUUUAACCACCUAGAGAUAUACUUACGUAUAUAUGUAUACACGCUCACAUAUAUAUAGACUUAAAUAUCACACGUACAUAUAUAUCGGAACACGUGCACUCACAUAUACGUAGAAACCUUAACCGUCGCUCCUUGACAGUUAUAAUAGUAAGGAGCCUACCUAAUUGAUAGCGACUUAAUUAGGUUUUGCUUAGGUUAUGUUAACAACUUUACCUAAUCUCACUAGUUAACCCCACCUAGUUUGUACGUCAGAACACACAUCGUGAUGAGUAGUCAAUCAUCUUCUCGCUAGACUAGUUUUAGCCGUUUUCCUCGAUUGUUAUUUCGUCUGGUGUUCCUUUGGUUUUAUUUUGGUGUUUCUUUGCUUAGUUGUUGUUCAUUUUUUGUCGUUAAUCUGCAUAGGCUUAAAGCCAAGAAGCUAAGCAAGGACACAAGGAAGGAACUGAAAACGGGAUCCGAUGAUGAAGAACCUAGGAGACUCGAUCGACAAGACUAGUCGAGAAUUGACCUUCGUAAAAGCAAGUCAUAUUUCCUUGAUCAUUCUGAACCCAACUUUCAAUAAUCUAAAUGAUCAGCUUAAAAUCUGACUUAUUAUCGCAUGUGCUAGAUAUUGUGUGUUGAGGAUGAUCUCCCGCCCCCCCCCCCCUCUUCUGAGGGUAUCUCGAAGUCUACUGGGAAGGUUGCAUGCUUGCCAUUACAACUUCGUUUCAGGGACUUCAUCCGUAGGUGGCAAAGAUCACGAAGCUCCAUCGGUCGAAGAGUGUAGGCGCGCCCACAUCCUCGAUCUCUCGUGCCGGCGAAGACGAGGGCGACUGUCGGUGAUGAACACCGCAAGCGGGGAUCCUGAGGGACCUCUUUUGAGAUUCGGCCGGGGGGCUGAUUCUGGAUCUACCUCGUACGGAGGGUUAAUACGAAUGUAUGAAAUUUAGACGGGACAGAUGAUCGUCGACUAGUAGGAGUAAAUGCACCAGGGAUGUACUCCCGGGAGUCCAUACUAAUUUUCCUAUAUAUAUCUUGGGUAUCAUUAAAUUGUAUCCAUGACAUGGAAAAAAGCAUUUUUCCCAGGGUUAUGACAUGACAUUUGUUUCUUCAAUUGCUUUUCACUCCAUGUAACAAAUGGAUAUUUCCUAUUUAUGAAGCACAUGGCUGUUACUUUUACAUGAAAUGACAAUAUUUUGGUUAUACAAAUAUAAUGUCUAUCAUGUCAUGUGUCAUGUACAUGUUUCAAAAAGGAAAAAAAACACGUAUGCAGAACAUCUAGAAGGCUAGUAAUCCUCGCUUUCCAUGCCUACUGGUUAGGUGGUUCCCAGAGGCCGGCACUUUUUUCCCAAGCUUCAAAAGAACAGGCUCAUUCAGCAUUUACUUUAGGAAUGAUACGAACAGUCUAUCUCCAUCACAUAUGAGCAAAAAAUUUGGUUUCUUAACUUUAUUAUCUGAAGUAUUUAAUAUUGAAUCUGGUUGCUGCACUGAAGAUGCUUUUGAGUUUUUGGAGCUCUGUACUUCUAGCAGUGCAGCAUUUCAAAGCUAAAUAAUGAGAAACAAUAUUAUUCCUUGUUUGCUUGCUUUUUAUGGUGUAAUGCUGCAUUCAUGUGCCUUACAUUCUAGUGAAUUGUUUCUUCUCCCGUGCAUGCUUACAUAUAUCCAUCGGCAAAACAUUAAUAACUAUGAUUAUUGGGUUUUUGUUGUCUAGGUCCAUCCAAAUGUCCCCUGCAUGCUGUUUACUCCAAUCUGCCCGCACUCACUUUCAUUUUGACCUGUCAUCCUUCCGGAUUCCGCGCGGCUUGAAUUAAAGAUACCAGAUGAUGCAAGAAGUAAUGCUUGGGUAUCAUUUGACGGCAAAAGAAGGCAACAAUUAUCAAGAGGAGACUCUGUUCGAAUAUCCAUGAGCCAGCAUCCGCUUCCAACUGUUAAUAAAUCUGACCAAAAUGGUGACUGGUUUCGCAGCUUGAUCAGGUGCCUGAACUGGAACGAGAGAUUGGACCAGGAGGCGUUAUAGCCACUAGUUUUUUUUUGUUGUACAUAUAUAGCUUUACACAUAUAGUUUUUUUUUUUACCAAAAUGUACGUCAUCAUGUGCAAAAUCGACCUGGCACACAAGCUCCUUAGCUUAUUGACCUGGCAUUAGAAGUGAUUUCAGAUAUUGUCUAUGUAUUCAUCUGCUCUGCAAAUCAACAAUAUAGCCCAUUAUUUCUGGGCCAAGUAGAAGAUGAUAAUGCAUAAUAAGCACCUGAGCUGAUACCA